rnacentral:rRNA from 1 species
UACGUAGGGGCCUAGCGUUGUCCGGAUUUAUUGGGCGUAAAGAGCUCGUAGGCGGUUCGGCAAGUCGGAUGUGAAAUCUCCACGCUUAACGUGGAGGGGCCAUUCGAAACUGCCGUGACUCGAGUCCGGUAGGGGAGUGUGGAAUUCCCGGUGUAGCGGUGAAAUGCGCAGAUAUCAGGAGGAACACCAAUUGCGAAGGCAGCUCGCUGGGACGUAACUGACGCUGAGACGCGAAAGCGUGGGGAGCAAACAGG